rnacentral:rRNA from 1 species
AGCAGCCGCGGUAAUUCCAGCUCCAAUAGCGUAUAUUAAAGUUGUUGCAGUUAAAAAGCUCGUAGUUGAAUUUCGGGGUUAGUAGGUUGGUCAUGCCUCUGGUAUGUACUGGUCUCACUGAUUCCUCCUUCCUGAUGAACCUUAAUGCCAUUAAUUUGGUGUUUUGGGGAAUUUGGACUGUUACUUUGAAAAAAUUAGAGUGUUUAAAGCAAGCUAACGCUUGAAUACAUUGGCAUGGAAUAAUGAAAUAGGACGUUCGAUCCUAUUUUGUUGGUUUCUAGGAUUGACGUAAUGAUUAAUAGGGAUAGUUGGGGGCAUUAGUAUUCAAUUGUCAGAGGUGAAAUUCUUGGAUUUAUUGAAGACUAACUACUGCGAAAGCAUUUGCCAAGGAUGUUUUCAUUAAUCAAGAACGAAAGUUAGGGGAUCGAAGACGAUCAGAUACCGUCGUAGUCUUAACCAUAAACUAUGCCGACUAGGGAUCGGAUGAUGUUAAUUUUUUAAUGACUCAUUCGGCGCCUUA